rfam:Canis lupus familiaris chromosome 23, whole genome shotgun sequence.
ACCUGACUGUCUCAGUCAGUAGAGCAUGUGACUCUUGAUCUCAAGGUUGUGAGUUCAAACCCCAUGUUAGGCA